CUUAAAACAAUUUGGGACCACCCCAGCAUCCAAAGAUGAAUUCAUCAACACCUGGAUACUGGGGCCAAUUUCAGAAAAGGUUGCUUUCAUAAGCACAGCGGGAACAUCAAGUGGCGUGGAUGAUAUUUUCAUCUGGUUAAUCAGAUCACACAGUUCCUUUAGAGAAACGUGUUCAAAUUGAUCAAAGGAAAUCGGUAUAGUCAGCGAAUUCAGGGACAGGUCUGAGAACUGCGAAGUGAAGGAAGAACGAAUGGUAAUUACUUUAUCAGCAAAAAACUUUAAAAACUUCUCACAAAGUUCAGCCGAGGGUUCCCCAUGGAAUUGGCAACUCGGAUUAAUAAUUGAAUUUAUCAUGGUGAAUAAGAUCUUAGGUCUGCAGCACUCAAGAUAGAUGUUUCAACAGCAUUAGCUCGAUAACUUUCACUACUGAGAGGCAGUGAGUGAAUUAAUAACACGGGAGUAAUAUCCUGAAGGCCUCGUCACAACGGCAGAGUGGGCAGCAGGGACAUUAAAAACAAUGGGCUUGUGAUCAGAGAAGGAAGCAUCUUCAAUAUUAACAUCACCAACAGUGGUUCCAUAUGACAAUAUGAGGUCUAGUGUAUGACCAAGGACAUGUUGCCUGAUUCAUAUGUUGAAUAAGACCAAAGGAAUCCAAGAUAUUACAAAAUUCAGUAACCAAGGGUCGACCAGGGCAGCAGACAUGCACAUUAAAAUCACCCGAUAAUAACAAAUGAUCAUACAACGGAACAAUAGAAGUUAAAAAAAAUCACAAAAUCACUUAAAAAGGCAUUGUCCGGGUUAGGUGGCCUAUAGAUCAAAGCACAGAAUAGCGUGGAAGAGUUUGACUCCAACGCAACACACUGUACCUCAAACGACGAGUAACUCCCAACAGAAACUGUCCGAAUGUUCAGUGACUGUUUAAAAACCAUAGCAACCCCACCGCCCUUACCAGAAGGCCUUGGAGUACUAAUAAAACAACAGUUCGGUGGACAGAGUUCCUCGAAGACGGUUGACUCACCAGGACUGACCCAGGUCUCCGUCAGGAAUAAAAUAUCCAGGUUAUGUCUGG
ensembl:lncRNA